CUAUUUAGAAAAGACCUGUGAACAGCAACUGCUUACUGAUUACAUCUCUUUAAACCCCAAAUAGACAAAAUUAAGUGUCAUAAAGAAUAUUUAAGUGCGUAGAAUUGUAUACCUAUUGUUUGGAAUUUUAGAGGAUUUCAAAGGUCUUCAUCCUUAUACUUAAUUUUAGGCUAUUUGCUUUUGAGCUACUCCGGGAGAGGAGCAAAGAGUCGGUUUGAGUUGCAUGACUGACAUCUUCUGGCUACAGUGGAUAUUACAGAAAGACUGAAACUCCGCAAAGGUGUGUUUGAAAAAAAGAAAAGCACCCUGGAAUUUGGAUCAUUAAGCUAUGGAUAGUUUUCCUACAUGCUAUGUAAUGCUGGAGGGAAGACAAGUCCCAUCUCUGGCAGCCAGAUGUGGAGGUUACCAAUGAGGAGCCUGGCGAGGAGGUUUCACCAUAAGAGAAGGGCCUGCAUGGCCGACUUUGUGGGUUGCUGGAGAUGGUAGACUCAAGGAGGUCUAUUCAAGUGUGCAUUAUUAGAGUGCAUUUAAUAAGCCAGGAUUAUCUCCUAGAGUUGCAGAGCAAGACAAAGCAAGUAGAGUCGGUAUCUGGAGACCUUUUUGCAAAGAAGACCAGGCCAGACAGCUGGCAUACAAUGCUGCUGGAAUUCAAACUUUGAAAUGUCCCACUCUGAAGCUCAUAUUAGAACUAUUGGAUGAAGAAAUGCAUGAGAUGACUAAAAUUAUGUAAUGAACAUCUUGAGGAGGUCAAAAUUUUUUCAAGUCACUACAGCAAAAGAUGUUUUCUGCUAUUAAAUAAUGUCUUAUAUUCCUAUAACUAUUCUAGUUAAAUGUAUAAUUAUGUUCGUAUGUGUUAAUUAGCAUUUAUGAUCCAUGUUUACAGAGUGCACGCACUGUGUUAGACACUGUAUUAGAAGUAAGAGAUAUUGCAAUGAAUGCUCAGGGAAACUAAGUUCUAACAGGGGAAAUAAACAACACAAUAGCAGCUUUUGAUAAAUAUUAGGUGGAACAAUAUGAAACUGCCACGUUGGUUCAAUAUCAAAAUUUCAUCUGAUUUGACCUAACUGUCUAAAUAUUAAAGUAUUUUUUCAAGUGUCCCUACAGAAACUCAUGACAUACAUUUCUGUUAUUUGAAUAUUCUUAUACAUUGUUUUUUAUGGGAUUCGAUAUGCACUGAGUCUCUGCAGAGACUAGGCAGUUGAUGGAAGAAUAUACAGUAAAUCUGAUCAACUUCUUAAGAAUUACUUAACCUUUACUUUAGCUCUCUGAUAAACUCUCAGAAGACAUCUGGCAAUAUCUGAGGACAGUUUUGGUUGUCAUACUGGUACCUGUUGAGUAGAGAUCAGGUAUGCUGCUAAAAUCCUAAAAUACACAGGACAUUCCCCCAACAGGAAAGAGUUAUCCAGCUCAAAAUGUUAACAGUAACACACUUGGGAGAUCCUGCACUCAACACAAGAAGGGACCAGACAAAGUUAAUUAGGGAAAAAAAAAACAGUAAUAUAAGUAUACAUCCCAAAUCUUGGAGUUUAGCUUUCUCCAAACACCCAUUGUAUAUGUCUGUUGAGGUAAUCAUGGUGAAAAAUAUGGACAGGAGUAAAAGUUAGAAUGAAGCUUAAGAAAAGUCUUCAUCAACAUUUAAGUUAACUAAAAUAGGACAAUAAACUUGACACACUAAAUAAAUUUGUUAUCAAUGAUCUCUCAUAAGUCUCAAAUGAGUAAUAAUGGGUACUAUAGAAGUCCUGUAAUUUCUACUCAUCCUUCCUUGCUCACUGGAAAACUUAGAGGAUCUCCCUCCUCUGAAAUUUCUAGCAGAUGCUUAUAAAUUUGUUCUUUUUGUAAACAAUAUGUGCACUAUUUUAUUUUCUAUAUCUAGUAUUCUGUGUUUUUUUAAUUUUUUUUUUUUUUUUUUUUAGAGACAAGCUCUCUCUAGGCUAUAUCACUAGUCUCAACUUCCUGGGCUCCAGCCAUCGUCUCACCUCGGCCUCCCAAAGCAUCGGGAUUACAGGCAUGAGCCAUUUCUCCCAGCUUAUUUUUUUUAUUGUUGUGUUUGGGGGACUUUGAAUAUACAAUAAACUAAUCAGAGUUAUUGCAAACUGUUAUCAUUAAUUCAUGCCAGCCCUCAUUUUAUUUUACUUUAAUGUUUAUCAUCAUCUUUUAUCUAGACCUCGUUCUUUUUUUCCCACCAGCUAUACCAAUGUUUAAACAUCUGUGUCAAAAGAAUAAUAUGCAAUAUCAUUUUGUGUGUUUAAUUUGAAGAUACUUUAUUAUGCUUCUCAUUCUGCU